rnacentral:rRNA from 1 species
UACGAAGGGGGCUAGCGUUACUCGGAUUGACUGGGCGUAAAGGGCGCGUAGGCGGAUGGUACAGUCAGACGUGAAAUUCCUGGGCUCAACCUGGGGGCUGCGUUUGAUACGUGCUGUCUGGAGUUCGGAAGAGGGUCGUGGAAUUCCCAGUGUAGAGGUGAAAUUCGUAGAUAUUGGGAAGAACACCGGUGGCGAAGGCGGCUCACUGGCUCAUUUCUGACGCUCAGGCGCGACAGCGUGGGGAUCAAACAGG